rnacentral:lncRNA from 1 species
AGAUGGUUAGAUAGCAUCACUGAUUCAAUGGACAUGAAUUUGAGCAAAUUGUGGGAGAUAGUGAAGGCCAGGGAAGCCCGCUGUGCAUGGAGUAACAAAGAGUCGGGCACGACUUAGUGACUGAGCAACAACAAUGUCUACUAAAUAGAAAAUUCAGUUGUUCUCUCACACCAUAGGUUGAGAAACAAGGAAGUUGAUUUAAGAUCAAAUUUUGCACUAUAUUUUAGAGAUUACAAUGCUACAAACAUAUCUGAGUCUCCAAGAUGCCACAAAUAUCUGGUUUUCAGUUACAUCUGGAGAGAUUAUUUAUUUAGAGCAUUGAAGAUAAAUAAGUGUCUUGAGAUUAGGGAGAAACAGGAAUUCUCCUUCAUUGUGUAUGAACANNNNNNNNNNNNNNNNNNNNNNNNNNNNNNNNNNNNGUAUCUCAUAAAUUUGAAGAUAUACAUGACUAUGGUUCACCAAAUCUAUGAAAUAUUCACUAAAAUAUAUCUUAUAUUUGUAUACAACUGGCAUGUAUAAGAAUAUUAUUUAUAAUUCUAUUUAUGAUAGCAAAAUACCAUGCUGCUAUGAAAACUAAUAAGUUGUGCUACAAAAAUCAGUACAGAUUAUCCUGAAAAGUACGAGGUUAAAAGAACAGAGCAAGUUGCAGUUGAACACUGUAUACUCUAGGGUUUAUAUAAAAUCUUUCAACUUUAAAACAAGCUUAUAUAAUAUUUAUGGAUAUGUUCAAUUGCAGUAGAAAUAGUAAAAUAUAAAAAUAAAGGUAGACAAAAGAAUAAAAGCGUACAAUAGAGAGAAAAUCUACAAAGACCGAAAAGCAGUGACUGCUGAGGUAGCAAAGGGAGGAACAGAACCAGGGAGAGCACUUGAAUUUUUUAAUUUCUAAUUUUUUUUUGCUAGGCUGGAAGGUGAGUGUGCAAGGCUUUAUGAUAUCUAUCUUUAAAUGGAAAUCUACUAUGUAUUGUAUCUUUUAGGAAAACUUCCAAAUUAAAUGCUCUUCCCAAUGGAAACAGAAGACACAAAAACUCCCCUCUACCAUUCCUGGAAAGUAAACCUAGUGGUCAGUCUCCUGGCUAGAGAUGAUGUUUCUGUUUUUUCCCAGGAAGGCUCCUACAAAGAAGCAUCAUCGCUGAGCAAGGUGGUAACUAUAGUAAUCAAGAGAGAAACCCUAAGACAAAAUAAAGUUGUGGAAGCAGUCAAUCCAGUCUUCUUUCUCCUCUCCAUCCCUAGAUACCUGGAGAGUCUCUUUCUUCAGCAUGCCUCUAUGAGUGAGGCAGGAGCAAGAACAGAACCAAGUUUCAUUUUACUGAAAGGUGCUUGCUUGCUGUCUCUAUUGUUCUGGCCAGUUCUGAUGGCUCUCCAGAAUUCCAAUUCCAAGUGA